GUAUGUGGAGGGGAGGGUCACCCCUCUGUGAUUUUAACUCAGAGCCCAGGGUACCUGUAACUCUGCAAGUGAGCAAAAACGCCUUUUUAAGACCCAGUAAGUGCUCCAGUAGUUCACUUCGAGCUCAUCAGGAAAAAUUGAUCUCCUUCAGGAGCUAAGGAGAAAGUGUCCUGGCUUUGCACUGCCAUCCCUAACGACUUGUGUCACCUAGAAGCAUUUCUGCCAUUAGAAAACGUUUCCAAAAUCGAACUCUCCUGGGCUAUGACUCCUACGUGACUUCCAGGCUAUUAGGAUCCCAGGACUGCAGUUGAGUAUCCCUUGGGAAACCAGACACCUUCCCCAGAGAUGCUGACUCCCAGGCUCCACAUUCAGCUCCCCCUCACCCUGAUCCACUUAGAAAACCUUUUGCCCUUUCCCCCCAGUGUCCGUGGAAGAGAUUCCAUUCAAAUCAUUGCUAACUGAAGAUUCUGAUAACCAGGAGCCAUGCAGUGUUGCUGCAUUUAUAACGAGACAUUGUCUUCCACCAGAUAGAAGAUAAAGAGCUCUAAUAAUUCAUGACAAGUUGUUUCGUGGUCAUACGUAGGAGAGGGUGGGAAAUGGCCGUCAAAUAAGAUAGGCCGAAUUUGUAAUCUGGCUGUGUUUGUGAGUUAGUAUUGCAAUCUCCCAAGAUGGGCAAUUGCUUUGGAGGGAAAUCGUGGGGCACUGCUGCCAUCUAGUGCCCAGGUUUUCUUGUUUGGUGUUUCUAGAGAAAUCCAUCCUUGGGUCUCUGCUCUCUUACCUGAUCGGGGCUCCCUUUACUGUUUUUGAGGGCCCUUCCAGGAGACGCCCUCCCUCCAGGCUGUCAGGCAACAUGUGAAAGUUAUUGUUACACUGGAGGCUUUCUCACUUUGAUUUUGAUUUUAUGAAAUCGCUGUAAAAGUUUGAUCACUACCAAAAUUCAAACGUACAGUGUCCAUUGAGCUUGGGUGCUGGGCCUUCACACCAGGCAUGCUGGUCAUUUGUUGUUGCUGUUGAUGAUGAUGAUGAUGAUGAUGUGGCUGGUUUCUUUUACUCCUAGGCCUUUUAUUAACAUUUGAACAAUUCAUAAUUUAUAUCCAAGUACAGAAUAAAGUUAGACUCUGAGUCUUUCCUUUUAGUCUUUCGAAAUUUUAGCCUCUCAAAAUAUUUUUAAAUGUUGACAUUUUAAAUUUUUCAUCAACACAUAGUAACUACAUGUUUAGGAACACAGUGUGCUAAUUCUACACCUGUAUACAAUGUGCAAGAUGCAAUCAUGGUCAUUGAUUGGCAUUGGAAUCUUCUCAAACAUUUAGCAUUUGUUUGUGUUGGGAAGCUUUGACCUCCUCUCUCCUAAGUCUUUAUGGUCACUGCUAUGGCUUGUAUCUACCUAGAUCUCCCUCCAAAUCCUCAGGCAGUCAUAGGUGGGGCUUUUGGGAGCUGGCUGGAUCUAGACUGUGUGACACUAAGGUUAAGGUGUUGUGGUACUAAAUUCAUCCACUGAUUGGAAUCAGCAUAGUUCUGGGCGUGGCUGAGUGGAUUUAAUAAAGACAGAAGUUUUGGGUGGUGGCCCCACCCAAAAGGCUUAUAUCCUGGAUGGGAUAAAAAGAAAGGCAGGCUGCUGCGAGCUGCUUGGUGCUUGCUGCUUUGUUGCCUUAUGCCUGCCUUGCCGUGGACUGGUUUCUUCUGGAAUGCACCUUUGUUAUGAUGCCCUGCUUGGAGUCAGCUGACUAUGGUCAGCAACUCCUAAAGCAACUAAGACAGUCACUCGACUCUUCUGGAGACUACUAGAGCUUAUUCUUUCUGGGUGAUUAUAUUUUGGGGUUCAACUCUGUCUCCCAAUCUAGGCACAAAGCUGUCCAUAGCCUUCAGAUCCAGCUGAGCUGCUGUGGACAUUGUGGCCUAUGGGACCAGCCAGGAGUUCAUCAGUACAGUGUUCAAAAGAAGCAGCUCUGGCAUACCAAAAAGGGAAAAGAAGACACCCAGAUGGGCAAAGGCACUUCCAUCUGCUCUGAGCUGUAUUUUAGGAGCCGCAAACUGGAUCUUUCGAGAGAAAAGGAACACAUUCAGUCAGUCUCUCCCGGAGUGUCUCGAGGACGGACCUGCUGUUUAUCAACAUGCCUCUGUGGAAGCUCCCAGAGAUCUCCUCAGGGUUUUACUGUGGUCUUGCCCUCCGAGGCUUAGGGCCUUUCUGGGGAUCCGGACAUUCUGUAGUGAAGAUGCUGGAUUGGCCAAAUCCUGUGAGGCGCCGUGGAAAAGUAAGAUCCUCCAUUUCCUGGACAAGAAUCUAUUGGAAAAUCUUAAAGAAGCAAGUUAUCUGCUGGAAGUGGUGGCUGCACCUGUAAUCCCAGCACUUUGAGAGGUGGAGAUGGGAAGCUCACAAGUUUGAACCCAGCCUGGGCCACUCAGCAACUUAGUUAGACAUGGUCUCAAAAAUUAAGGGUUGAGGAUGUAGCUCAGUGCAGAGGCCCUGAGUUCAACGCCUCCACAAAAAGCAAGUCAUCAUCCAUUGAAUUCCCAUAGAUCUGUCAACCUGGAAUGUGUAGAAUUCUGCAGUUCAUGCUGUGAUUCACAGAGGCUGAUUCUGAAAGACACAACGAGCUGUGGGUGUUGUAAAUAAUCGCUGGGAAAAGGAGGGAAACAGCAACAGAAGCACAAGCCUUCUCCAUCCCAACCCACUCCCUCCUGGGCCUCCACCCAAGGCCCUCUGGUGCACAAGGCCUGGCCUGAGCCUGCAGGAAGGCUGGAGCCACGUGUGGACUCCACCCAGCUCAUGACGGAAGUCACCCCUCCCUCGCCACAGGUCACUGCAGCCCCCUUAGCAGCCCCGGCUCUUAUCAAAGCAAUGCCUUCCGUGCUCUUCCUGUCAUUCUGUCAAAGUCUGAGAGAGAGAGAGACCUUCUGCAAUGGAAAGGAGAUCAAGAGAUCCCCUCCCAAGGGAGGGAGGAGAAGCAAAAGGGAGUGUUAUGUGCCUAUACCACCUGCCCACAGCGAAUGC
rnacentral:lncRNA from 1 species